rnacentral:rRNA from 1 species
GACGAACGCUGGCGGCGUGCUUAACACAUGCAAGUCGAACGGAAAGGCCCUGCUUUUGUGGGGUUCUCGAGUGGCGAACGGGUGAGUAACACGUGAGUAACCUGCCCCUGACUUUGGGAUAACUUCAGGAAACUGGGGCUAAUACCGGAUAGGAGCUCCUGCUGCAUGGUGGGGGUGGGAAAGUUUCGGCGGUUGGGGAUGGACUCGCGGCUUAUCAGCUUGUUGGUGGGGUAGUGGCUUACCAAGGCUUUGACGGGUAGCCGGCCUGAGAGGGUGACCGGCCACAUUGGGACUGCGAUACGGCCCAGACUCCUACGGGAGGCAGCAGUGGGGAAUAUUGCACAAUGGGCGGAAGCCUGAUGCAGCAACGCCGCGUGCGGGAUGACGGCCUUCGGGUUGUAAACCGCUUUCGCCUGUGACGAAGCGUGAGUGACGGUAAUGGGUAAAGAAGCACCGGCUAACUACGUG